rnacentral:tRNA from 1 species
GCCCUGGUGGCACAACAGUUAAGCACUUGGCUGCUAACCAAAAGAAAGGUGAUUCAAAUUCACCCAAAAGCU